UUGUGUAUAUGAUUUCAUUCUUUUAUUUUAUAUUUUCCUUUUUUAGGUCAAAAGGGGCGAUUCUGAACAUCUCCUCUGCCAGUGGCAUGUAUCCAGUCCCACUGAUGACCAUGUACUCGGCAACCAAGGCUUUUGUAGAUUUCUUCUCUCAGUGCCUCCAUGAAGAAUAUAAGAGCAAGGGCAUCUUUGUGCAGUGUUCAAUGCCUUCUUUUUAAAGAUUCAAAAAGGAUACAAACUUUAGAUUUCAUCAGAAUGUUUCUGCUACAAAGAACAACCACCACAGUGAAUUCUGCGUUUGUGGCCUUUGCUAAU